AGCGAACGCUGGCGGCAGGCUUAACACAUGCAAGUCGAACGGGCACUUCGGUGCUAGUGGCAGACGGGUGAGUGACGCGUGGGAACGUGCCUUUCGGUUCGGAAUAGUCCAGGGAAACUUGGACUAAUACCGGAUACGCCCUUCGGGGAAGAUUUAUCGCCGAAAGUUCGGCCCGCGUCUGAUUAGCUAGUUGGUGAGGUAAAGGCUCACCAAGGCGACGAUCAGUAGCUGGUCUGAGAGGAUGAUCAGCCACACUGGGACUGAGACACGGCCCAGACUCUUACGGGAGGCAGCAGUGGGGAAUAUUGGACAAUGGGCGAAAGCCUGAUCCAGCCAUGCCGCGUGAGUGAUGAAGGCCUUAGGGUUGUAAAGCUCUUUUGUCCGGGAAGAUAAUGACUGUACCGGAAGAAUAAGCCCCGGCUAAACUUCGUGCCAGCAGCCGCGGUAAU
rnacentral:rRNA from 1 species